UUCCUAGAAUGGGUUUCAAUUCCUGCGGAACAAACGGGUCCUUAUUGUAAUAGAACCACACUAGACUACACAGCAUGGUAUUGAAGUUUGCCACGAUACGAUUGUUUGUUGGAGGUGCAACUUCACCUUUUCUUCUACCUCUCUCUAUCUACCAUUGACUACCAUCCACUACUUUGGUGGACUACAAUCUCACCUUCCAUUCUCCCCUCAUUCCCUUAGUCUAAUCACG
rnacentral:lncRNA from 1 species